AAAGUUAUCUUGCAAAACUACAGAUGAGACAGCUGAAAGGAAUUAAGAGUGAAUAUGCGAGAGCAAGUAAGCUUCGUAUACGGUUUACAGGUGCUAGAAAUGGCUUCUUAACUCAAUUUACCAGAUGCAAUUAUACAGAAAUUUACAACAAAUGUUUUAAGGAAUAACCAUGAAAGAAAUAUUGCCAAGAGCAUAACAUUUAAGCAAGCUUUAAACUUGCUAUGCUUCAAUCUGAUAAAAUUAUGAGUAAUAUGCCAACACUUUGGUUAAGUAAACAGGUUUGGAAUAAAUAUGAUUUUAUGAUUAGAUAUUAACACUUCAACACUUUCUUCGCCUUCCCUGAUGCAUUACGUUGCCGUGCUGCAUACCUUGUAACGCAAAACUUCUUCAAAUAUAACAAGUCUGUUGCUACAAGGACUUAAGUCGAUGAUUCAAACUAGGGAAGUCACGUAGAGAACAUACUCGGAUAAAGUGUCAAAAGAAGACCUAAAAAGAUCGCCUUAAAAAUCAAACACAUCGGAGGUCAUAAACUAUA